rnacentral:rRNA from 1 species
AAUGAACGCUGGCGGCGUGCCUAAUACAUGCAAGUCGAGCGAACGGACGAGAAGCUUGCUUCUCUGAUUUUAGCGGCGGACGGGUGAGUAAAACGUGGAUAACCUACCUUUAAGACUGGGGUAAAUUCGGGGAAACGGUGCCAAUUACGGCUUAUAUUUUCAACCGCAUGGUUCAAAAGUGUAAGACCGUUUUGCUUUCACUUUUACCAGGAUCCGCACUGCAUUAGCUAGUUGGUAAGGUAACGGCUUACCAAGGCAACGAUUCCUAGCUGACCUGAGAGGGUGAUCGGCCACACUGGAACUGAGACACGGUCCAGACUCCUACGGGAGGCAGCAGUAGGGAAUCUUGCGCAAUGGGCGAAAGCCUGACGGAGCAACGCCGCGUGAAUGAUGAAGGUCUUCGGAUCGUAAAACUCUGUUAUUAGGGAGGAAGAUAGGAGUAAGUAACUGUGCACAUCUUGACGGUACCUAAACAGAAAGCCACGGCUAACUACGUG